rnacentral:rRNA from 1 species
UACGAAGGGGGCCAGCGUUGUUCGGAAUUACUGGGCGUAAAGGGCUUGUAGGCGGUGUAGCAAGUCGGGAGUUAAAUCUCUGGGCUUAACCCAGAGGCUGCUUCCGAAACUGCUGUGCUUGAGUGUGGGAGAGGCGCGUGGAAUUGCAGGUGUAGCGGUGAAAUGCGUAGAUAUCUGCAGGAACACCCGUGGCGAAAGCGGCGCGCUGGACCACUACUGACGCUGAGGAACGAAAGCUAGGGGAGCAAACAGG